rnacentral:misc_RNA from 3 species
AACGCACAUUGCGCCCUGUGGUAUUCCGCAGGGCAUGCCUGUUCGAGCGUCAUUACAACCACUCAAGCCUGGCUUGGUCUUGGGGUGUGCGGUUCCGCAGCCCCUAAAAUCAGUGGCGGUGCCGGUGUGGCUCUACGCGUAGUAAUUCUUCUCGCGAUGGAGUUCCCCUGGAUACCUGCCAGAACCCCCCAAUUUUACAGGUUGACCUCGGAUCAGGUAGGGAUACCCGCUGAACUUAA